GACGAACGCUGGCGGCGUGCCUAAUACAUGCAAGUCGAGCGGAAGUUGGAGAGCUUGCUCUUCAACUUUAGCGGCGGACGGGUGAGUAACACGUGGGCAACCUGCCCUGCAGAUCGGAAUAACUCCGGGAAACCGGUGCUAAUACCGAAUAGUUUUCGCCACCUCCUGGUGGCGUACGGAAAGACGGUUUCGGCUGUCACUGCAGGAUGGGCCCGCGGCGCAUUAGCUAGUUGGUGGGGUAACGGCCCACCAAGGCGACGAUGCGUAGCCGACCUAAGAGGGUGAUCGGCCACACUGGGACUGAGACACGGCCCAGACUCCUACGGGAGGCAGCAGUAGGGAAUCUUCCGCAAUGGACGAAAGUCUGACGGAGCAGCGCCGCGUGAGUGACGAAGGUUUUCGGAUCGUAAAACUCUGUUGUGAGGGAAGAACAAGUACCAACUAACUACUGGUACCUUGACGGUACCUCACCAGAAAGCCACGGCUAACUACGUGCCAGCCGCCGCGGUAA
rnacentral:rRNA from 1 species